AGCGGAGGAAAAGAAACCAACAGGGAUUGCCUCAGUAACGGCGAGUGAAGCGGCAAAAGCUCAAAUUUGAAAUCUAGCACCUUCGGUGUUCGAGUUGUAAUUUGAAGAUGGUAACCUUGGGUUUGGCUCUUGUCUAUGUUCCUUGGAACAGGACGUCAUAGAGGGUGAGAAUCCCGUCUGAUGAGAUGCCCAUUCCUAUGUAAGGUGCUAUCGAAGAGUCGAGUUGUUUGGGAAUGCAGCUCUAAGUGGGUGGUAAAUUCCAUCUAAAGCUAAAUAUUGGCGAGAGACCGAUAGCGAACAAGUACAGUGAUGGAAAGAUGAAAAGAACUUUGAAAAGAGAGUGAAAAAGUACGUGAAAUUGUUGAAAGGGAAGGGCAUUAGAUCAGACUUGGUGUUUUACGAUUAUCUUCUCUUCUUGAGUUGUGCACUCGUAUUUCACUGGGCCAGCAUCGAUUCGGAUGGCAAGAUAAUGGCAGUUGAAUGUGGCUUCACUUCGGUGGAGUGUUAUAGCUUCUGCUGAUAUUGCCUGUCUGGAUCGAGGGCUGCGUCUUUGA
rnacentral:rRNA from 1 species